rnacentral:rRNA from 1 species
GCUAACUACGUGCCAGCAGCCGCGGUAAUACGUAGGUGGCAAGCGUUAUCCGGAAUUAUUGGGCGUAAAGCGCGCGUAGGCGGUUCGUUAAGUCUGAUGUGAAAGCCCCCGGCUCAACCGGGGAGGGUCAUUGGAAACUGGCGGACUUGAGUGCAGAAGAGGAGAGUGGAAUUCCAUGUGUAGCGGUGAAAUGCGCAGAGAUAUGGAGGAACACCAGUGGCGAAGGCGGCUCUCUGGUCUGCAACUGACGCUGAGGUGCGAAAGCGUGGGGAUCAAACAGGAUUAGAUACCCUUGUAGUC